CAAGUGACCCGGUCUAACCACCGGAUGUUAUCAUAACCCUUUGUUGUCCGACUCUGUGCCUCCGGGCGACCCUGCCUUCGGGCGGGGAUCCGGUGGACAACAUUCAAACUCUUGCGUAACUUUGCAGUCUGAGUAAACUUAAUUAAUAAAAUUAAA
rnacentral:misc_RNA from 1 species